ACUGAUUUAAUGAGCCUGAUCCA
rnacentral:piRNA from 1 species